rnacentral:rRNA from 1 species
GGCGAACGCUGGCGGCGUGCUUAACACAUGCAAGUCGUACGGUAAGGCCCUUUCGGGGGUACACGAGUGGCGCACGGGUGAGUAACACGUGAGUAACCUGCCCACAACUUUGGGAUAACGCUAGGAAACUGGUGCUAAUACUGGAUAUGUGCUCCUGCUGCAUGGUGGGGGUUGGAAAGCUCCGGCGGUUGUGGAUGGACUCGCGGCCUAUCAGCUUGUUGGUGGGGUAGUGGCCUACCAAGGCGGCGACGGGUAGCCGGCCUGAGAGGGUGACCGGCCAAAUUGGGACUGAGAUACGGCCCAGACUCCUACGGGAGGCAGCAGUGGGGAAUAUUGCACAAUGGGCGCAAGCCUGAUGCAGCAACGCCGCGUGCGGGAUAACGGCCUUCGGGUUGUAAACCGCGUUCAGCAGGGACGAAGCUUUUUGUGACGGUACCUGCAGAAGAAGCACCGGCUAACUACGUG